UACGUAGGGUCCGAGCGUUGUCCGGAAUUAUUGGGCGUAAAGGGCUCGUAGGCGGUUUGUCGCGUCGGGAGUGAAAACUCGGGGCUCAACCCUGAGCGUGCUUCCGAUACGGGCAGACUAGAGGUAUGCAGGGGAGAACGGAAUUCCUGGUGUAGCGGUGGAAUGCGCAGAUAUCAGGAGGAACACCGGUGGCGAAGGCGGUUCUCUGGGCAUUACCUGACGCUGAGGAGCGAAAGCAUGGGGAGCGAACAGGAUUAGAAACCCUAGUAGUCC
rnacentral:rRNA from 1 species